ACAGCAGUCGCCGCGGGAAUACGAAGGGUGCAAGCGUUAAUCGGAAUUACUGGGCGUAAAGCGUGCGUAGGCGGUGAGUUAAGUCUGCUGUGAAAUCCCCGGGCUCAACCUGGGAAUGGCAGUGGAUACUGGCUCGCUAGAGUGUGUCAGAGGAUGGUGGAAUUCCCGGUGUAGCGGUGAAAUGCGUAGAGAUCGGGAGGAACAUCAGUGGCGAAGGCGGCCAUCUGGGACAACACUGACGCUGAGGCACGAAAGCGUGGGGAGCAAACAGGAUUAGAUACCCCAGUAGUCCCUGUCUCUUAUAC
rnacentral:rRNA from 1 species